GACGAACGCUGGCGGCGUGCUUAACACAUGCAAGUCGAACGGAAAGGCCCUGCUUUUGUUGGUUUCUCGAUUGGCGCACGGGUGAGUAACACGUGAGUAACCUGCCCUUGACUUUGGGAUAACUUCAGGAAACUGGGGCUCAUACCGCAUAUGAUCUCCUGCUGCAUGUUGUUGGUUGGAAAGUUUCGGCUGUUGUGUAUGGACUCGCGGCUUAUGAGCUUGUUGGUCGGGUAGUGGCUGACCAAGGCUUUGACGGGUAGCCGGCCUGGGAGGGGUACCGGGGACAUUAGGACUGAGAGAGGGAGCAGAAUCGUACGGGAGGCAGAAGGGGGGAAUAUGACGCAGUGGGCGGAAGCGAGAGGCAGAAACGCCGGGAGCGGGAUGACGGCCUUCGGGGGAAAAACAGCUGUGGACGGAGACGAAGAGGGAGUGACGGUAAUGGGUAAAGAAGCAACGGCUAACUACGUG
rnacentral:rRNA from 1 species